AGUGGACGCUGGCGGUAGGCCUAACACAUGCAAGUCGAACGGCAGCACAGUAAGAGCUUGCUCUUACGGGUGGCGAGUGGCGGACGGGUGAGGAAUACAUCGGAAUCUACUUUUUCGUGGGGGAUAACGUAGGGAAACUUACGCUAAUACCGCAUACGACCUACGGGUGAAAGCAGGGGAUCUUCGGACCUUGCGCGAUUGAAUGAGCCGAUGUCGGAUUAGCUAGUUGGCGGGGUAAAGGCCCACCAAGGCGACGAUCCGUAGCUGGUCUGAGAGGAUGAUCAGCCACACUGGAACUGAGAAACGGUCCAGACUCCUACGGGAGGCAGCAGUGGGGAAUAUUGGACAAUGGGCGCAAGCCUGAUCCAGCCAUACCGCGUGGGUGAAGAAGGCCUUCGGGUUGUAAAGCCCUUUUGUUGGGAAAGAAAAGCAGCAGGUUAAUACCCCGCUGUUCUGACGGUACCCAAAGAAUAAGCACCGGCUAACUUCGUG
rnacentral:rRNA from 1 species